ACAUUUUCAGGGCCUGGGUGGCCUAUGCUUUUCUGAUUUUUUCCAAGCCCUAGCCCUGCCCCCAGCCCAUGGCGUUCGGGCUUUGUUGGUGCCGGUCGGGCCACUUGAGGUCGGGCUGAAAUGGACAUUUCCAAUAUUUUUUUCUCCGUUUUUUGCUUAUGCAUCUCAUCCCAGAUCAACAUGUACCGAUGUACAUCAUCGAGAGAGGGAGAGACAGAGAGAUAUGAAGUACAAAAUAUUAACAUUAAAAUGUAUGAGCCUGGACAGGAUUGAAAUAGAUAGGCUGGGCGGGAUUUGUAAGGCUUUAAUUGGGCUGGGCUGGGCUUUGGGCCGGGUCAAGGUUUUGAACCCUCCACCCUAGCCCUGCCUCAUGCCCAACGGGCUGGGCUUGGUGGGCGCUCAUGGGCUUUUGGCUCCGAGCCAAAUGAUGACCCCUAACUCAACUUUAGCUUAAUGGUAAUGAUAGGUAACCCACAUGCGCACCACUGGAUCUCACGGACAGCUGCUAUAGCCCAUUAAACAUUAAAUUAUUAAGCGUGUGUCCCGCGUGUCAAACGCGACAGGUGCCAAAUCUAACUCGAGUGUAUACGUACUUCGGUGUAUACCAGAAUUUUUGCACCUACCAUGUGGGGAAGUAAUUUAUGAGCAGUUCAGCCAACCAAUAUGUGAUUAUGAUGAAGAUGACAACAUGGUAAGAGAAACAGAAUUGGACCUCCAAAAGAAUUACUACGGGAGCCACAGUCAUCGGUGCAUUUAGGAGUUCAUCAACUCCGAAAGCAGUGGAGGCUUUAAUCUGCUUGUUUCUAGUGGCUUUCUCCAGGUACCUCACUCAGAAUGCUAUACCACCUGGGGUACCGAUCCAACUCUUAAAUCCUGUACUAGGAACACAGCGUUAGAGGGAUAAACUGUACAGGACGGUUUAUGCCUCUCCGAUGCCUGAGUAAGAUACUAACAUAUAAAUGAAUCGAGUAAUAGUAAAUAAAUGAGUUAUUACCCCAGAAAGGGUGGUUGGGCUGAUUCCUUAUACGAGAGUAUGGGAAAGGAGUAUCCAUUCUCCUCGAUGUGGGACGUAGGUUCUCUUUGUAGUUCUGCUUUCUGAUGUCUUCUUGGAUGAAAUGUGUUGGCCAAGUCUGAGGCCCUGGGUGUCCGUGAUGUCGUUCCCGAUGAGCACCGUCAUGGUGGGUUGUGAACCUGGCUCAUGGCAUGGUACAUGGGCCUACGGGCCUCAGUUUGUAGUGCCAAACCUAGUGAGGUGUUCACUAGUAUGUACACUGCUUACCUAGUUGAUGGGUGAUAAUAGUCAUUUUAGAAGAUGAGCCUACAAUUGAAAACACCGAGUCCAUGAAAAAGUUGAAUAAGCACUGCUUCUAGCAGAAACACAUGUCCACCUCCCAAGGCAAAGGGCAUUUCUUAUUUGGUGGCUGAAGCUUUAGCCGUCCUUCAUGACUCCUCUUGUGACCUAAUUGCAAGAUCAUCAAAGUCUCCUACGGCGGCUGAAGCUUUAGCCGUCUUUGAGGGUGUUUCUCUGGCUUCAUCUUUAUAGUUGGACUCUCUGGGGCUGGAAUCUGAUUCUCUUCAUGUCAUAAAAGCCAUCACUUGCCGAAAGUUUCCUGUGGAUUGGUCAGCUGCUCCCAUCAUUCAGUAAAUUAUGCUCUUCUUACUCCCUAACAUUAGCUGGACUUGGUCCGCGCUCCUCUUUAUCCAAAAUUUUGUUGUACGAUACGGCCCUGGACGGCCUUAAUUGUUUUGUUUGCUUUCUAUGUUCUUGGAGUGACACGUUGUACUCCUUGAAUCUUUGUUCUUUUUAAUAUUAAGUUCUUUUAACAACAACCAAAAAAAAAAAAAGCAAUUGGCAACGAGAAGUCUGGUGGUAUUAUCAUUGACGUGUGAUCUCUGUGAUGCCUAAUGCACCAAAUUCUUGAUUGGCCAAAAAAAAUAUAUAUAUCCAUAUUCUCGAAAAAAAUUUAGUAGUUUUGCUGCUCUGCUCUUGAGUUCGUACUUUGUGAUGUGUCUGAUACUCUUAAUUAUUGAAUUAUGUUUUGUAGGUACUUUAAGACUAACUUCUUUUAAUCUUUGAUACUAGAUAUUUUUAUUUUUUGAAGUUGUUUGAGCUUCGUAAUAAGCCAUGAGGCAUUAAGGUUUAGAUGGUCUAUGAUUGUGUGGAAUGUUGGGGCUGUUGUAGGUUGUUUUCUACUCUUGUUGCACACAUGAAUUUUAUUGUGUGGAUGUAGAUUAUGGAAGAUCCAGGAUUGAACCGAAAUCUUGCUCCAAAACCGAUUUGGCUGUACUGAACCGAAAUCGAUCAGGUUUCGGUUUGGUCCAGUUUCAAAGUUGAGAAAUAUCAAUUCUGGCUUGUACCGAAAUGAAUGAUAUUUUCGGUUUCGGGUUUGGUUUCAGCUCCAUCUUGGCCUGUGCCCAACCCGAAAUCUUAGUUUGAACAUCCCAAGCUCAUCUACAAUAACUACUCUCUAAUUCCAGUUGAGAAGUUGGUGGAAGCUGGAGUAGUAUCUGGAAGCGAUACAUUUUGGAGUAUUUGUGCCUGAUGAAGAAUGGCAGAACAUGCUCUUAAGUUUAGAACAUUUUAUUUUUGUUAUUUUUAGUAAAUUUGGCACAUAUGUACUUUGUAAUUAUCUAACUGCAACUUUCUGAUGGUUCUCUUUUUUGGACAAAGCUAGUUUCUGAUGUUAAUUUCGUAUGUUUAGAGUUUAUUUAUAUAAAUAGGGAGAAUAUCGUAAAUGAUUAUUAUAUUUUUACUUGUUCAA